GUCAAAUAGUCACUAAUUAAAGCUUUCUAAAUUAUCUGUAAGUUGUGACAAACUAUGUCAAAUAUAGUCUAUACUACUGAGCUCUUUUCUCCUUACAUCUUUGAUCAGAGUGUUAACAACCCACUCUUGUGAAAAUAUAAGUCCCCGACGAGGUGGGCAGAACACCUGAGGUCAGGAGUUCAAGACCAGCCUGGCCAACAUGGUGAAACCCUGUCUCUACUCAAAAUACCAAAAAAAAUUAGCCGGGCGUGGUGGCGUGCGCCUGUAAUCUCAGCUACUCGGGAGGCUGAGGCAGGAGAAUCGCUUGAACCCAGGUGGCGGAGGUUGCAGUGAGCCGAGAUUGCGCCACUGCACUCCAGCCUGGACAACAAAGAGCGAAACUCUGUCUAAAAAACAAAAACAAAAAACAAAACAAAAACUCUUAGGUUCCAAAAGUAGAUUUUGAAACUCAUAAAAUAGUGUAUGCCAAAACCACAUUCACCACUGAAAUCACAUCCAAAGGUUUUUCUGACUUCAAAAUAAAAAUUUCAUUUGCCACACUGCCAAGUUACCCUGGCUGAAUUUGAAACUAAAUUUUAGAUUUUUAUAAUUAUACUAUAUCUCAGGUAGGCCAGGAGAAACUGAA
rnacentral:lncRNA from 1 species